UGUGAGAUAUGAAAUGCAUCAGGCCAGCAUGGGUAUCAGGAUGAAGUCACAGACUAAGGUCUUCAUAUUCCUAUUGCUCUGGUUGUCUGGUGCUGAUGGAGACAUUGUGAUGACCCAGUCUCCCAUAUCCAUGUCUACAUCAGUAGGAGACAGAAUUUCUCUGACCUGCAAGGCCAGUCAGAAUGUGGGUAGUGCUGUAGCCUGGUACCAACAAAAACCAGGGCAGUCACCUAAACCUCUGAUCUAUGCGGCAUCCAACCGGUACACUGGGGUCCCUGAUCGAUUCACGGGCAGUGGAUCUGGGACAGAUUUCACUCUCACCAUCAGCAGUGUGCAGGCUGAAGACCUAUCCAUUUAUUUUUGUCAGCAGUAUAGCAGCUAUCCUCCCACAGUGCUUCAGCCUCCUACACAAACUUCCUCUAACCAGCUGCCUGUACCACACAUCCCCAGACCCUCCCCUUUGGCCUACAGCUGCUAUGUCUAACUGUUGCAAAGUUUGUUAGAAAGUUAAUGAACAGAUGCUUUGACUUGGAAGAUCCUUAUGGAAAAACAAAGUAAAGACAUUUGUGUCUUUUUUAUUCCUCA